rnacentral:rRNA from 1 species
AACACGUAUCCAACCUGCCCUUUACUCGGGGAUAGCCUUUCGAAAGAAAGAUUAAUACCCGAUGGGAUAAUCAUUCCGCAUGGUUUGAUUAUUAAAGGAUUCCGGUAAAGGAUGGGGAUGCGUUCCAUUAGGUUGUUGGUGAGGUAACGGCCCACCAAGCCUUCGAUGGAUAGGGGUUCUGAGAGGAAGGUCCCCCACAUUGGAACUGAGACACGGUCCAAACUCCUACGGGAGGCAGCAGUGAGGAAUAUUGGUCAAUGGGCGCGAGCCUGAACCAGCCAAGUAGCGUGAAGGAUGACUGCCCUAUGGGUUGUAAACUUCUUUUAUAUUAGAAUAAAGUGCAGUAUGUAUACUGUUUUGUAUGUAUAAUAUGAAUAAGGAUCGGCUAACUCCGUGCCAGCAGCCGCGGUAAUACGGAGGAUCCGAGCGUUAUCCGGAUUUAUUGGGUUUAAAGGGAGCGUAGGUGGACUGGUAAGUCAGUUGUGAAAGUUUGCGGCUCAACCGUAAAAUUGCAGUUGAUACUGUCAGUCUUGAGUACAGUAGAGGUGGGCGGAAUUCGUGGUGUAGCGGUGAAAUGCUUAGAUAUCACGAAGAACUCCGAUUGCGAAGGCAGCUCACUGGACUGCAACUGACACUGAUGCUCGAAAGUGUGGGUAUCAAACAGGAUUAGAUACCCUGGUAGUCCACACAGUAAACGAUGAAUACUCGCUGUUUGCGAUAUACAGUAAGCGGCCAAGCGAAAGCAUUAAGUAUUCCACCUGGGGAGUACGCCGGCAACGGUGAAACUCAAAGGAAUUGACGGGGGGCCCGCACAAGCGGAGGAACAUGUGGUUUAAUUCGAUGAUACGCGAGGAACCUUACCCGGGCUUAAAUUGCAGUGGAAAUGAUGUGGAAACAUGUCAGUGAGCAAUCACCACUGUGAAGGUGCUGCAUGGUUGUCGUCAGCUCGUGCGUGAGU